AGAGACUUCAGUCAGGAAGUGUUUAGUUUUUCUAGAACGUGUGAUCAGCUCGCAGCGCCAGCUGAGCUACCCUUUAUGUCCUCUGUUUGUGCUUUGGAAAGCAUCGCUUGUGGAGGUCACACCAACCGUUGGGUCUCAACAGCCAUCGCCUGCCGGUGCUGUGGAAGUGGUCGAGGAGGGGGGGCUUCCUGUGCAGCGCACGCCGAGACCCGUCAAAGAACCUGAAACAUCAACUCCAAAUCAAGAUGGCUGAUCCCCAGAAAUUUGUGCUCCGUGUAUAUGUUGCUACUGAUUUUGCAAUGAAACUCACUCUAACUGAGCAACCAAAAUCUGUAGAAGAGCUGAAGAAAAUGAUGCAAGAGAGGUUCAAGCCAAGACUAGACUGUGACUUCACUCUCCAAUAAGAAGACCCUGAUUCUGAUGGCCAACUCAGUGUUCUGGUGGACAUUGCGGAGUUGCCAGAGAAAGACACUUUGAAAGUCAUGAGAUCCGAAUGUGAUGAUGCCUUCACUGGAAGUUCAGACACAGACAUACUUCCACAUGUCCCUUUAACACAACGUCAGAAGAAUUGGCCAGAUUGCAACUCAUCCGUGCCUCACAGAGCGUGGAAGUGAUACUGGAUGGUAUGGCUGGAAGGUCAAUUUGAAGUACAAGAUGGGGAAUUAUUGCUCAAAGCUAGCCAGAGCUGGUUGUGCUGAGGUCUCCAACACAGGGGAGCAUAAACAACCCUCAAAAUGAUCAUCCCCAUGCCAACAUUAAGAGAGCCCGACGUGCUGAGGUGAACUACUUGCCGAACUUUCCCAAAGGGGAGACCCAAGAAACUUUGGGACAAAUCAAUGAACAAAUCAAUCAAGAGGUUGGAAAGACGGAGAGAAACCAAAUUUUGAUUGAAAAGCUCAUGCACACAACCUUUGCCUUCGUCACAAAGAGAUUGUGGAAAAUCCACAAGUAAAGGACUUCUUGGAGAGCUGGCCAGCACUUCUAAUGGAGUCACAGGUAACCAGUCUGUACUGUGUACUCACUCUUCGUGGCCUCCCUGUGUAUCUGCAUGACGAUGACUCAGAAUUCUUCAGGACCUGCAAUCAGGGAGAUGAACCAGAAAUUGGGGAGACUCCAGUGGCUCUCCUUACCAUGACCACUGACAGAGCUUCUGC
rnacentral:lncRNA from 1 species